ACAGGGGUCUUCCGGCGAGCGUACUGAUCAUAAAGCUCGUGACAAGGAUUGCUCAUCGAAGAGUGGAAGCCACCAUUACAAAACCCCUCCCCACCACUCAGUACCCAAUUACGAAAAGUCUCCACCUACAUAUCACAGUGAGCAUCACAACACUCCUUCCCCUCAUGAAUCUUCUUCCUCCCAUCCUCCUCCUCGUCCCCAUUACGAUGCACCUCCCUAUGUCCCCUACGUCCAUCAUGCACCUCUACCACCACAUGACGGCUACAAAUCUCCUCCUCCACCUGAUCAUGACAAUUACGAAGCACCUCCAAAGCAAUAUGAUCCUCCUCCAUAUUACCAGAGAGGCAAUGUUGACACCACUGCAAAAGCAGCAUCAGCGCAGCCGAAGGAGAGUUCGCCAUGAAAGGGGUUUCAAGAUUCGUAAGCCUCG
rnacentral:lncRNA from 1 species